rnacentral:rRNA from 1 species
GACGAACGCUGGCGGCGUGCUUAACACAUGCAAGUCGAACGGAAAGGCCUCUUUCGGGGGGUACUCGAGUGGCGAACGGGUGAGUAACACGUGAGUAACCUGCCCUUGACUUUGGGAUAACUUCAGGAAACUGGGGCUAAUACCGGAUAGGAGCUCCUGCUGCAUGGUGGGGGUUGGAAAGUUUCGGCGGUUGGGGAUGGACUCGCGGCUUAUCAGCUUGUUGGUGGGGUAGUGGCUUACCAAGGCUUUGACGGGUAGCCGGCCUGAGAGGGUGACCGGCCACAUUGGGACUGAGCUACGGCCCAGACUCCUACGGGAGGCAGCAGUGGGGAAUGUUGCACAAUGGGUGGAAGCCUGAUGUAGCAACGCCGUGUGCGGGAUGACGGCCUUCGGGUUGUAAACCGCUUUCGCUCAUGACGAAGCUUUGUGUGACGGUAGUGGGUAAAGAAGCACCGGCUAACUACGUG